ACGUAGGGGGCGAGCGUUGUCCGGAUUUACUGGGCGUAAAGAGCGCGUAGGCGGCUCGUUAAGUGUGAAGUGAAAUCUCCAGGGCUCAACCCGGAAACUGCUUCGCAUACUGACGAACUUGAGGAAUGCAGAGGUAAGUAGAAUUCCUGGUGUAGCGGUGAAAUGCGUAGAUAUCAGGAGGAAUACCGACGGCGAAGGCAGCUUACUGGGCAUUAUCUGACGCUGAGGCGCGAAAGCGUGGGUAGCAAACAGGA
rnacentral:rRNA from 1 species